rnacentral:SRP_RNA from 1 species
ACAGAGCAUGAUGUCAAAUGCCUGUAGUCCCCGCUUCUGGAUGGACUGAGGCUGGUGGAUUGAUUGCAUUCAGGAGUUCUGAACUGCAGUAGGGCUAACGCUGAUUGUGUUUUUUAAAACUAAAUUUGGCAUCAAUAUGGUGAACAUCUGGGAGUGGAAGGCCACCAGGACACCUAAGGAAGAGAGAACCAGCCCAGGUCAGAAAAGCAGAGAAGGUCAAAGCCUCUAUGCCAGUCAGUACUGGGAUGGGGCCCCUGAGUGGUCUUCUGCUCUUCUAGCCUGAAAGAAAUAGGACUAGUCUCAA